UGAAGAGUUUGAUCCUGGCUCAGAUUGAACGCUGGCGGCAUGCCUUACACAUGCAAGUCGAACGGCAGCACGGGUGCUUGCACCUGGUGGCGAGUGGCGAACGGGUGAGUAAUAUAUCGGAACGUACCUUGUAGUGGGGGAUAGCUCGGCGAAAGCCGGAUUAAUACCGCAUACGCUCUGAGGAGGAAAGCGGGGGACCUUCGGGCCUCGCGCUACAAGAGCGGCCGAUAUCAGAUUAGCUAGUUGGUGAGGUAAAAGCUCACCAAGGCGACGAUCUGUAGCUGGUCUGAGAGGACGACCAGCCACACUGGGACUGAGACACGGCCCAGACUCCUACGGGAGGCAGCAGUGGGGAAUUUUGGACAAUGGGCGAAAGCCUGAUCCAGCAAUGCCGCGUGUGUGAAGAAGGCCUUCGGGUUGUAAAGCACUUUUGUCCGGAAAGAAAU
rnacentral:rRNA from 1 species